GAGAGAGCGGCCCGGGGGCCCCGCCGUACCUUGCCGCUGGCCGUGCCCCCGCUAACGCCGAUCAGGAAGGGCUCGCCGCCGUUGGGCUGCUGGUGGUUCUGCAGGGUCUGCUCGCUGUCCCCAGCCAUGGCUCGCGCCGCCCCUCCUCCCGCUGCCUGUGCGAACGGACGCACGCUCCCCGCCCGCGCCGGGCUCCCUCCGCUUCCCGCAGCCUCCGCUGGGCGCUGCCCAGGUCGAGGCUGACGCGGCUCCCUGCGCACCGCUCGGAUCCCGGUGCUGGAGCUGGCUUUCCCGAAGGAGCCGAGAGCCUUCCUCUGCCCGCUGUGGCCGCCCCGGUUUACAUCCCAGGCAGAGGUCAGCGUGAUGCUGCUGCUCCAAUCCGGGCGGACAGCGCACUGCUAUUCGCCGAGGCAGCGGCGGCGAGGCGUCUGCCCCAGCCUCCGCCCCUCCCGGGCCCCGCCGCCGCCGCCUGGGGUCUCUGGGAAAGGUAUGAGCCCGACCCUUCUCCCAACCCGCCUGGUUAACCCUUUCCGCGACGACGACCUGCGGCGGGACCAAGGGAAAAGAAAGGAGCCUUCUGCGUUUUAAUUGGGUCCCUGAUUAUUGCAAGAGUCAUACCAUUUAGAGAUUAGGAAUUCCAAAGAAUUACCCUGUUAAAUUUCUGGCUGCUUCACCACUUGCUCUGAACCUGAACGUCAUCUUGAAGCUGGCAGAGCUGCGUGAAGCAUUUCCCUUGUGCCCAACUAAGUCCACUGCUUAUUGCUGGCAAGGCUGUGGGACUGUGGCCACUACACUGAAUGGCGCCUGACUCCUCUUGCAGAAGUGAGAUUCUCUUGCAAAACUGAAAACUAUCGAGCGAAAUAAAACACAGCAACAUAAAUUUCCAGGCUCUGAUAUUUUCAUUAGUGAGUUAUACCAAACAUUCAAAGGAGAGUUAAUACCAAGAUUUCACAGGCUCUACCAGAGAGAAGAAAAACGAUGGAACACUAAGCAACUCAUUUUAUGAGACCAGCAGAACUUUAACACCAAAACCUGACAACACGUUACAAGAAUGGAAAAUUAAAGGUUCCUGUGACCUCACUAGAGAAGCAGAAGCUCCUGAUGCCAGAAGACCUCAGGCAGCUGGACGUUGGUGGAUUUGGCCCACACAUCUGUUCAUUGAAGUUACAAUGUUCUCAAUUUCCGAUACUGAUCCUCCAGAGUGGGCCCCAACAAGGGUCCCCCUGCCCAGUGUCAUUGGAGCCAACAGAUCGAGAUUGAGUUUGGUUCAGAAGCAAAGGAAACUUUAUAUUUUGAUCAGAGAAUGGAGAGGAGUUGCCAGUCUGCUACUUGCUAAAGAAGACUAUGUGUCACCCGUACCUGCUGUUGGAAUUUCUCCCUGGGCAGAGAGCACAGGCUCCGGACGCGCAGGCUCAGCGGCCAUGGCUCACGGGCCCAGCCACUCCGCAGCAUGUGGGAUCUUCCCGGACCGGGGCACGAACCCGUGACCCCUGCAUCAGCAGGCGGACUGUCAACCACUGCGCUACAAGGGAAGCCCUCAAGGUGUGCAAGAUGUGUUUUUUUUUUACACCGAGACAUAUAUGUAUUCAUCUUGGGAUCCAUUUGCCAGCAGGCCCACCGCUGGGCCUUUCACCCGAGCAGACCAGAGUCGAGAAGACACAGGCUGGCAAAGGUGCACUGCAGCAAUAUGCACAAAAGCCAAGACAUGGAAGCGACCAAAAUGGCCAUCAGCAGAUGAGUGGACAAAGAAGGAGUGGUCCAUGUGCACAGUGGAAUAUCAGCCGUGGAAAACUAGGAAACACCUACACACAUCUGUUGCUGCACCACAGAUGAUCCUAGAGAUAAUCACAGGACACGAGCAACAACAACAACAAAGUCAUGAAAAAAUGCUCAUCAUGAGGAACUGUUAAAGAUAUGCAAAUCCAAUCUUCACAAACGUAUCAGCUCACACCGGUCAGAAUGACCAUCAGCAAAAAUUCUGCAAACAGUAAAUGCUGAAGGGGCUGUGGAGAAAGGCGUACCCUCAUCUCUAAGUGGGACUAAACUGGGAAGAGCCACUAAUGAAAACAGAACGGACCUGCCUUUAACAGAUACCCAUUGAGGCACCAUAGGACUCAGCAGGCACGCUCCCGGGCCUAUGACCUAAGAAGACACAAUUAGAAAGACACAGGCAGGCAAAGCUGCACUGCAACAGUAUGACAGUAGGCAAGACAGGGAAGCUACCAAAAAGUCCAUCCAAAGAUGAAUGGAAAAGGAGAACUGGUACAUGUACAGAUGGAAUAGUAGCCAAGGAAAAAAAUGAAACAAUGCCGUUUGCAGCACCAUAGAUGAGCCUGGAGGUAAUCACAACAUGAAGUAAGUCAGAGGGCGAAGGACACAUAUCCUGUGAUAUCACUUAAUGGUGUUACCUGAAAAUUGAUACCAAUGAAGAUUUUUCACAGAGCAAGGCAAUCAAAGAUUCGAUCAACAAAUAUAUGGUUAACCAAAUGGAAAGGUUUGAGGACUGGAUAAAUUAGCAUAUUGAGGGAAACAGAGCUACACCAACACAUGUGAAAUAUAUAAGCACCAAGGACCUAUGGAAUACCAAGAGAAGACUACUCAACAUUGUGUCCUAACCCACAUGGGAAAUGGAUCCGAAGGUGAACAGAUAAUAGGCAUAUAUGUGAAAGAACCACAUCUUGCACACCCAGAACAAACAACACAUGGUAAUCAAAUUUGCUGUGAUAACAAAUAAAAAUCAAAUUAAGAAAACCAACAAGAAGUAAUGAGACAUAAACUCAUGGGGGUUUUUCCUGGCCCAUUCCAUUCUAACUUACAGGUUGGAACAUUACACCUAGGAAGGCUGUUUUGCCCUAGUAACCAGAUUUGGGAAUGGAGACAUGCCACAGCCUUGUGACUGUCUCCCGCAAAAGCAGCUUUAAACACAGUGUUCAGGGUCUCUUACUAUCCACAAGAAUUGCACCUCUGUAAAUGACACCUGCCCUCAAAAAAAUCCUGGGUUCGAAUAUCGACGAAAAAAUGCAAAAGAGGGCAAUCUUUCAAGAAGACGAUUUCAAGAGGCACAUUUAACUCACACUCUUUCUUUUUUUCUUUAUUUUCGUUUAACAAAAAAGGCCGUGGAAAAAGCUCCAUAUCAGGAAUUACUAAAGACAUGCAAAUGCAAUCUACAAAAACGUUUACGUGACAACAGUCAGAAUGAUCAUCAGCAGAAAAUCUCCAAACAAUAAAUGCUCAAGGGGUUUCAGACAACUGUAUACCCUCUAGCUGCAGCUGGGAUGUCAAAUGGUAACAGCCAGUAGUGAGAACAGAAAGGAGGUCAAAAUUGAGCUACCAUAUGAUCUGGUCGGCCCACUACUGGCUCUAUCACCUGAGAAGACCAGAAUCGAAAAGACACACGUUGACAAUCCUACACUGGAGCACUAUUUACCCUAGCCACGACUUGGAACAACCAAAAUGUCCAUCAACCGAUGAAUGCACGAAAAAGAAGUGGUCCAUGUACACAACGGAGUAUUACUCCGAUACAAUAAAUACAGUCAAUAUAAAAAACAAACAUAACUAAGGAGACAUAAGCUUUGUGUGUUUAUCCGGGCACAUUCCACUCUAAUUUACAACCAAGGAACACUACUUCCCAGAAGGUACUGUUUCCCUAGUAACUAGAGUAGGCAAUGUAGAAAUGCUGCCGCCCUGUGGCCGUUUGCCGCAACAGCAGUUUUACAACCUGUGCUAAAGGUCACUUCGUAUUCACAAGGACUGCAGGGCUAUAAAUGACACCUGCCAGCAAAAUGUGUUGAGGGAGGUAAUGGCAAAAUAAAUUCAAAAUAUGCCGCAUACUUCAAGAAACUAUUUGAAGGUAAGCUGUACUCACUCUUUAAAAAACAAUAAAAAAUGCAUGGCUAUAAGCUCAAUAUAAGGAAUUAUUAGACAUAUGCAAAUCCAGCCACAAAAUGGUAUCAACUCACACCGGUCAGAAUGACCCUCAGCAAAGAAAUAAAAACAAUACAUGCUGAAGAGGCUGUGAGCAAAUGCACUCUCACCUUUAAGUGGCUCGUAAACUGGUAAGUGCCACUAAUGAAAAGAGAAUGGAGCAGCCUUUAAAAGGUAAACACUAAGAUACCAUAUGAUCCCGGAGGCCCACUCCUUGGCCUAUAACCUAGGAACACGGAAAUGGAAUGACACAUUCAGGCAAAACUGCCCUGCAGCAGUAUUACAAUCGCCAAGACAUGGAAACAACCAAAAAGUCCAUCAAGAUACGAAUGGACAAAGGAGAACUGGCACGUGUACAGAUGGAAUAUGAGCCACGGAAAAAACAUGAAACGAAGCAGUUUGAAGAACCGUAGAUGACUCUGGAGGUGAUCACACAACUUGAAGUAAGUCACAAAGCGAAAGACACAUAUCCUAUGAUAUCAAUUAUAGGUGUUACCUAGAAAUGGAUACCAACGAAGAUAUUUCCACAGAUAAGAGGAAUCGCAGAUUUAUUAAACAAACUUAUGCUUAAUCAAUUGGAAAGUUGUAAAGAUUGGAUAUAUUAGGUUAUUGGGGUUGACAGAGAUAUACAAACACACGUGAAAUAUAUAAUAACCAAAGACCUACAGAAUUCCAAGAGAAGACUACUCAACACUUUGUCAUAACCUACAUGGCUAAUGGAUCCCAGGAUGAAUACAUAUAUGUAUCGGUGCCAGAAACACACACAUCUGGCUCAUGUAGAACACACAAAACAUCAUCAUCAAAUCUGCUGUGAUAAAAAAUAAAAAUUAAAUUAAAAAAACGAACAAGAUA